AGCCCUUGGCAAUGGGCAAAAAGACACGUUGUUGGGGGUGUUCUUAUAUCAGUCAGGGGCAGAACAGGUGGCAGUCCUUUGUUCAUCCUAUCUUGAUGCCUGUCUUAGUGGCCAAAGUUGUUUUAUGCCUAGGACUCAUAA